AGUUGUGUGGCUCAAUGGUAGAGCACUUGCCUAGCAUGUGUGAGUCACUGGGUUCAAGUCUCAGCACCACAU
rnacentral:tRNA from 1 species